rnacentral:rRNA from 1 species
UGGGGAAUAUUGGACAAUGGGGGCAACCCUGAUCCAGCCAUGCCGCGUGCGUGAAGAAGGCCUUAGGGUUGUAAAGCGCUUUUGUCAGGGAAGAUAAUGACUGUACCUGAAGAAUAAGCCCCGGCUAACUCCGUGCCAGCAGCCGCGGUAAGACGGAGGGGGCUAGCGUUGUUCGGAAUUACUGGGCGUAAAGGGCGCGUAGGCUGCCAUGUGUGUCAGGUGUGAAAUCCCAGAGCUUAACUCUGGAACUGCUUCUGAAACUGCAUGGCUUGAGUGAGUGAGAGGCGGACGGAAUUCCGAGUGUAGCAGUGAAAUGCGUAGAUAUUCGGAGGAACAUCGGUGGCGAAGGCGGUUCGCUGGCACUCUACUGACGCUGAGGCGCGAAAGCGUGGGGAGCAAACAGG